rnacentral:rRNA from 1 species
GAUGAACGCUAGCGGCAGGCCUAAUACAUGCAAGUCAAGGGGCCAGCAAUGGCACCGGCGCACGGGUGCGUAACACGUACACAACAUACCUUUAAGUGGGAGAUAGCAUCGGGAAACUGGUGGUAAUACCCCAUAAUAUUGCGAUGCGACAUCACAUUGCAAUUAAAGUUUCGACGCUUAAAGAUUGGUGUGCGUCCGAUUAGCUAGUUGGCGGGGUAACGGCCCACCAAGGCUACGAUCGGUAGGGGGUGUGAGAGCAUGACCCCCCACAUGGGUACUGAGACACGGACCCAACUCCUACGGGAGGCAGCAGUAAGGAAUAUUGGACAAUGGACGAAAGUCUGAUCCAGCCAUGCCGCGUGCAGGAUGAAGGCGCUCAGCGUUGUAAACUGCUUUUGGAUGGGAAUAAUAACCUCGACGUGUCGGGGCUUGAAGGUACCAUCAGAAUAAGCACCGGCUAACUCCGUGCCAGCAGCCGCGGUAAAGUAGACGU